rnacentral:lncRNA from 1 species
CUCUUGAAUCACAGAAUCAUCAAAUCACCAAAGUUGAAAAAGACCUUCAAGAUCAUCCAGUCCAACCAUCCACCUACCACCAAUAUUUCCCCACUAAACCAUGUCCCUCUGUACGACAUCUAAAUGUUUUCUGAACACCUCCUGGGAAGGUGACUCCACCACCUCUUUGGGCAGCCCAUUUUAGCAUCAAACCACACCUCUGAAGAAGCAAUUUUUCCUAUGUCCACUCUGAAUCUUCCUGGCACAACUUGAGGCCAUAAACAUGCAACCUGCUGUUAAUACUUUUCCUAAUGUCCUGACAAUACUGAAUGAGAAACACAUCAAUCUCCUGCUAGAUAUCUCUGAAUAAAGUCAAUAGAACAACAAAGAAAGUAGGAGAUGCUAACAUCUGAGAAAAAAUACUGAGCAGGGGAAAUAAAACAAGAAGAAGGCAAUGAAGUGGCAGCCCUUCCCUAAGGCAACAGACACAUUCCUGCCAGCUGCAUUAAUAACUUCCACCUUGUGACACCGAAAACACUGGGGAACUGUUUAAAAGCGUCCUGUCUUGUACAGAUACAUACAGAAGCAGCAAUUACAGUAACAAGAGGAAUAAUAAUGACAAGAAAAAGCACAAGGUGGAAAAAGUCUGUGAAGAAAGUGUGGGCGAAAGCAUUUUUUCAGGUUCCUUGCACGAAAUAUUCCCAAGCAACAGACACUGUGAAGUGGGAGAAAUCCACAACUUCUACAACAUUUUGUCUGAACGCCCUCGCAAAGACAAAGGAGUGGGCUUCAAGACAGUUCUCACUGAGUCAUUAAGGGCAGGGAACAGAAGAGACAGAAGGAUAUGAGACAUCUUUGAACGCAGCGUAUACAGCGGACUACUGAGAAAUUCUAACCCAAACGUCUAGACUAAGUGGAAAAACUUGAAGGAAAAGAAAAUAAAAACAACAC